UGCGAAGCCCGCGCGGGACGAGCAGGCGCAGGACUCGCCCCAGCGCCGCGCCGGCCCCCACCGCAGCGCCGCCUCUCUACGCUGGCUCUAUCGAGCCUUCGGCCCCGCGACAGCGGCGACGACCGCAGCCCCAGAGCCGUGCUAAGGUCUCGACUCGGCCGCGGACAAUGGCGGCCGCUACCCCGGCGUCGACCCGGGCGCGCCGUGGGGUUGCUGGGAGCGGUAGUCCGACAGCUCACUUCCGGCAUUGGGCCGGGGCGCGCCGCGGGGACUGCUGGGAGAGGUAGUCCAACAGCUCACUUCCGGCGUUGGGCCGCGGCGCAUCCAUCGCGGGAGCUGCCCUGCUCCCCUUCCCGGAGCGCCCACUGCGUGGCGCUUGAUCCGUCAGGGCGCUGACGUCAGAGGCGGCGGUGUGGUUGCAGCCCCAGACCGCCCUCCAUCCCCCCGCUGCCCGCCUUGAGAGGGCAUGGGGUCUGCUCUGGUGGUUCCCAGGCUCAGCACCUCAGUGGGAAACCCACUUCUCACUCACCACUCUGCUUCCUGAACGUUUAUUGAGCUCCUACCCUGUGAGCCUGGUAUGGAGGCUUCCAAGGCAAGUCAGACCUGUUUGCGGCCCAUGAGGAUCCACAGUAUAUGGAGGUUGACGGGGAAGAAAUGCAGAUGCAGUAUUCAAGGCCCGCUCUAGGAAUCAUCAUCACCAAACUCAGCAGCACCUUGAUGUUGAACUUCCCAACCUCCAGACUGUGAGC